UCGGCUCCUGCCCGGGAGCGCGUGGAGAUCAGGAGCACAAUGACUUCUUUUUAAUUUUUUCUAACUUUUCCAUAUAAACCAAUAUUUACCAGUAAUCCUGUGUUUCUGUUUUUGUUUUUUGGCAGACUUUUACCAGUAAAUAUCGGUUUAUUCCUGAAAGCAGAAGCCCUAAACAUACCUUUGUUAAUAAGUUUUCCUGCUCUGCAUCUCUGGGAACUGGAGCCCGCAGGACCUAGAGCCUUCUGUUGGUAACGUAGACCCGGGUUUACAAACUGUUCUUUACCUGCUUUUAAGGACAGAGGUGUUCCCAGCUGCCCGGUACGGGAACUGCUAGAAACCCUUGCAAAUGCAUUAAUUGCCUCACCUCUCCGAAGCCUGCGGCCUGGGUGGUUCUGCUUGCUGGCAGUUCCGUAACACAACUUUAAUCUGAGCAAUUGAGGCUGGCCCUACAUUAUCUCCAGACGUCUUGCAGAGGACUCCUGUUACCAGUUUGGUACCCAAAAGCUACAUCCCACCAUCAGAAGUCACUUAUUGAUUGUUUUUUUCAAAGGCAGUGAUAGAUUACCCUCGCUGGCUCUAAUGGAAAAAUGAUAAUUGCAAUGCAACUUUCUAAUAAAUUGUUCAUAUAUUCAUAAUUCCAUUGCAAUCCCAAAUUGGAGAAGAGAUCUGUUAAAGUGCACUGGUGCACCAAGCCUCAGAACCACCGCUUUCUCCAGCGCAUAGGAUGCUUUUCCAAGACUGCGGAUACGUGUAUGUGUACUGCUGUAUUGAUAAGUAAAUGCCAACGAUGGAGUUAGUUGCUUUUAUACAUCCCAAAGAGAAGUUCUCCACCAGUCAUUUUCUGUUUUCUGACCGAAAAAGGUGUGUGUUUGUGAACGGUGUUCACGCGAGUUCUGCCGCCCCACUCUCACAUCAGCUUAUACCAAUGCCAGAAUGGGAGGAUUUGCCUGCGUACCUUCCCCAAAACGCCCCGGUCCGCAGUGGCAUCGUCAGGGAGCAGUUCAAACGUGUGUCCUUUGGACUUGGUGUAAAGCAAACGCAGAACGAGAAAAACUGAGAUGUUAAAUCCAUUAGAAAACAAAUUCCUUAUUGUACAGUAGUAUGGAGACCUCUAGUCAACCUGCCAUUAAUAGUAGAUUCUUAUUUUUUGAAUGAUCUAUUUAAAAGAACA
rnacentral:lncRNA from 1 species